UACGGAGGAGGCAAGCGUUAUCCGGAAUUAUUGGGCGUAAAGCGUCCGUAGGUGGCUAGUCAAGUCUGCGGUCAAAGACUGGGGCUUAACCCUGGAAAGGCCGUGGAAACUGACGAGCUAGAGUGCAGUAGGGGUAGAGGGAAUUCCCGGUGUAGCGGUGAAAUGCGUAGAGCUCGGGAAGAACAGCGGUGGCGAAAGCGCUCUACUGGACUGCAACUGACACUCAGGGACGAAAGCUAGGGGAGCGAAUGGG
rnacentral:rRNA from 1 species